AGAGUGAACGCUGGCGGCAGGCCUAAUACAUGCAAGUCGAACGGCAGCACGGCAGAGCUUGCUCUGUGGGUGGCGAGUGGCGGACGGGUGAGGAAUACAUGGGAAUCUGCCCAGUCGUGGGGGAUAACGUAGGGAAACUUACGCUAAUACCGCAUGCGCCCUUCGGGGGAAAGCCGGGGACCUUCGGGCCUGGCGCGAUUGGAUGAGCCCAUGUCGGAUUAGCUAGUGGCGGGGUAACGCCA
rnacentral:rRNA from 1 species